rnacentral:lncRNA from 1 species
AUUCUGCUCUCACUUAAAGGCAUUCCUUUUUUUCAUUUUACAGGAAAACAACAAGGAAAGGGGCUAAGAUCCUCGUUGACAACAUGAAUUCGUACGCAAGAUACCGAAUUGGAUCCCUUUCAUAGAUGGGAAUUGAUGAAUUAAGGAAGCAGUAGCACUCCCUCCCGAUGUUUUGCCAGAAGCUCGUUUUCCGACAGAAAGAGAAA